GAUGAAGAACGCAGCGAAAUGCGAUACUUGGUGUGAAUUGCAGAAUCCCGUGAACCAUCGAGUCUUUGAACGCAAGUUGUGCCUCAAGCCAUUAGGUUGAGGGCACGUCUGCCUGGGCGUCACAUAUCGUUGCCUGAUGCCAGUUUCCUCGUGAUGGGUGACUGUGCAGGGCGAAUGAUGGCUUCCCGUGAGCAUUGUUGCCUCAUGGUUGGUUGAAAAUUGAGUCCUUGGUAGGGAGCGCCGUGAUAGAUGGUGGUUGAGUGACGAACGAGACCCAAUCAUGUGAGACCCCUACCGAAUUUGGCCUUCAUGACCCACAUGCGUCUUUGGAACGCUCAUGACGAGACCUCAGGUCAGGCGGGGCUACCCGCUGAGUUUAAGCAUAUCAAUAAGCGGAGGA
rnacentral:misc_RNA from 1 species